UGGCAUGUGACUGGCACGGCAGGUGCGGUUUUGUCCUUGCUUUCAUUCAUUUCACGGCCUUUCCGAAUUCAGAUAAGGAAAGUGCCACUGUCAAGCAGUAGACUAUUGGGUAAAAGCUGCAUGGA